ensembl:lncRNA
UAGUGCAGAGUCAUGACUUCCUGGACACCGAAUCAUUCAGACACCAUUUCACGGAGAUGGAAGCCCCAGGGAAUGGCAAAGCAGAGUUGGCAAGUUGUGUGGGUCAUAUACUUAUUGCGCCUGCUGCCACCAUCCUUCACUAGCAUCAGAGCCUGGCCAUGUUGACUUUCCAACAUGAACUGAAGACCCGUGGCUCUCCAGGAGUCAGACAGGCCCUUGGUGCCAGGUUUGGACUGCUGUGGCACCCAGCUUAGUGGAAUGAGAGCAUCUAUUGAUUCUUGUCCCCUCCAAUGAGAAGAUAGCCAUUGUUGCCUCAUGUCUUGCAUGAAAAUGUCCUUAUGCAGCACAGUGCCAUGUGUAAUGAAUAAAUACAAUGAAAAAAUUUUAAAAAAUGACGAAGAAUUUCAAGGUGGUAGCCACAGAACAUCAACCCCUAAAUAUGGGGUCCUACCUGACUGCAUUUUUACAUAUCUAUGAAGCCCUGCCUUAUCAUGGCACAGAGACAUGUGGCCUUCAGCUCUCCUUUCCAACUUCAUUUCCUUAUCGGCAGGUGAGCAUAAAAAUCCAGGCUUCCAAGAUGGCAGCAUAGAUACAAGGAAGUCACAUGGCUAGAGAGAGUUGAUAACCUUGUUUCAAGUCCUGACAUCAUGCUUUGUAUUCUUUCCACAUUUUGUUUGCAGCUGGUGGGUUCUGGCUGCAUCAGAGCCAGUCUGAGUCCCUUUGGUGAGCAGAGCUGACUGAGGGCUCAGAGGUCUGGCAGGAUCUCCAGGUCACAGACACUCCCAUUCCCAUUUCUCCAUUUCCUUUGACGAAGAAUGACCAACAGCUCAAAGGACAUUUCAGUUGGUGGGUCAGUCUCGAAGGACCACUGUUUAGAGUACAUUGGGUACCUCAAAAGUGAUGGUGAUCUCCUCCUCACCUUUCUUUGCCUUCAGGAAAGUGGUUCUGCACUGCAGGGUGAGGCUCCAAGAAGUCACAGCCAUGGCAGAUGCUCCAUGACAUUUGAACAGUACCUCAGAUUGUCUAUGAGGAAAUACCCAGGUCUUCACAGUUUCUCAGGUCGCAAACCAUCACCACACACAGCUCAAGCCAUGCAGCUCAAGCCACACAGCUGUGAUGCCACCCUUCCUGAGACACUAUGAGUAUCCCCUUUGUUGGGUGAAGAAAAAAUGACCCAGAGAAGUGAGAGGGCCUUCUUGGUGAAACACAGUUAGACCUUCGCACAUGUGCAGUGGUGUGAUUGUGUGUGUGUGAUGCCCAUAGACACAAACAAACACAUCAAUGAAUAUAUGAAUAAAUAAGUCCAUUAGUUAAUGAGUGAAUUAAAAGCUGGAUAUGACAAGGUAAACAUACAAUCCCAAAGCUUAGGAAGCAGAAGUAGGAGCCAUCAUGUUUGAUGGCUCUAUAGUCAAGCUGAAUCUGCAAUUCGUGUCUCAAAAAAAAAAAACAAAAAACAAAAACCGAAAAACCAACAACAACAACAACAGGGAAGAUGGGAUGCACUGAACAUGAUCAAAGUACACUAUGUGCAUGCAUGACAUGGUCAAAGAAUAAAUAAAAAACAUUAAAAAAACAAAACCAAGUUGGAUGGCACACACGGUUGACUUUUUUGCCUCCACAGGCACUCACACACACAGCCACAGACACGCAGACAUGAAUCUUAAGUGUGUUCUCAGUACAGUGGCUUGACCAUCUCCAUUAUUCAUAAAAGCUGUCAAUACCCAGAAACCCUCACCUUCCUGUUGUGAUGCCUGAACAGAAUCAGAAAACUGGGGCCAGAUGCCCUGCUCAUCACUGCCAGUGCCCGUCCACAUCUAGCUGUCAGUCCCUUCUGUGUUCUAUCUGGGUCCCCAGUCUGUCCCAAUGACAGUACCACACCUCUUCAGGUGACCAUAAGCAUAGGAAUGUGGAACAACAGGGUCUUAGGCCCAGCGAAUUCAGUAGCCAACAGCAGAGACUAUCCCUACAGCUGUGAGAUGUGCUUCAGGCAUGGAGCUUCCAACCCAGUCUUUCCGGGCAGAAGGCUGUUCCCAUGUUUCCUGUGACAGAUGCGACCCUAUCUUUGAUCCCUCUUUCCAAAAAAAGUUUCAUGCUCCUUUCUUCAAGCCCUUUGUUCCCAGCAUAGCUCCGUGAGGAAUCUGAAGAAAGGCUGUGGGAAGCUAUGUGGAUAUAAUCCCUGGUUGGGGAAGCAGCUGCCCCUCCAGCUGGGUCCAGGUGGUGAGGAUACAAGAUGUGGCGGGUUGGGCUAGGCUCCACAAAGCCAGGCUCUGUGGGCCGCCAUCAUUAUCAUUGCAGACAGCCUUCGGAACAACGGAAACCUCCACGCCCUCAACUCCCCAGAAGAGGGAGAGCAGGAUGGGUGCACCACCUCCCUUCUCAGGAUGUUUUUAAUAAUGCAGACCAGCCCACACAGGGAAGCAAGACCUUGGGAAGCACACAGCCCUCCCCUGCAGGGCUAUGGUGCAGGGCUAUUCUUCCAGCCGGGUUCCCUAGUUUGUAUGAAUUACAGAGAUCCUCAUUGCUGCGUGUAUAACAGACUUCUGUGUGAUGGUCUGGGUGUGAUGUGUAGUUGAUACUGGGAGGAGUGUGUCUUUCUUGGCUGUAUCUCUGGUGUUGUUUUUGUUCUUGGAUGGACUCUUUGUUCUAUGACAGAGAGUACCUACAGACGCUCCAAGAUAACAGAUCUGGCAGGAGACACUUCCUGGUGCAAUCUAGAUUGCUUCUCAUAGCACUGUAGUCCACGAUCCGAUGGUACAUAUGAUGGCAACAAGGAGUCUCAACUCAGGUGACCCUGUUUUCUGGCACUAUUGUCUCCCUAUCACCCAAGCAAGGGGUUCUUGCUCCCUUCUGGUAUCCACUGCAUAUCUGUGCUCACGUGAGCACUGGGUGAGGGUGAGCUAGCAUGCAUGUCAUGUGUGAUAGGUCACCUAUGAGAUGCCGCACACACAUGAGGUGAUAAACCGGUUAGCAGAUAUAAAAUAGGAGAGCCAGGACUACACAGAGAAACUCUGUCCUGAAAAUCCAAACCAAACCAAACCAAAAAAGGCAGAGGUAGAUGGAGGACACCAGGGAAUCAAAGUCUUCUAAAUACAACAGGACUGGAGCACAUAUGAACUCAGAGAGUGUGGCAGCAUGCACCGGGCCUACAUGGGUCUGGACCAGAAGUGGUCCUAGAGCUGAAAGGAGAAGUGGACUCAAGUCCCCAUCCCUAACUCAGAAGCUAUCUCCAAUUGAUAGCCAUUUGCAAGUAAAUAAUUAGUUUUUUUCUCUAAGAAAAUCUCACUGGGAAAAUAAGCCACUCUUAAGGGUAGGCCCGAUGCCCAAAAGUAGAUAACCACCAGAAAACGAACUCCACAGCAUCAUUGGAGGUUCUUUGUCUCAUAUUAAGUCAGGGCAAUUCUUUUUCUACUGUACAGAUCCUUUGUAUAUAUAUCAUGGCUUCCAGUUUUGGAUUUUUAUAGGAUUCUUGAGUGUGAAUAUGUGUGUCCCUAUAUCUAUAUGUGUUUCUUUUAUUUCUUGGGCUUUUUCUUGUUUGGUUGUUUCAUCCUAUUCCAAUUUGUUUGUUUUUGAUGUAUCUUAGUUUAUUAUUAUUCCUUAGGUGCCUGUUUGCUUUCUAAUGAGAGACAGAAGGGGCAUGGAUCUAGAUGGGAGGUGAGGUGGGGAGGAACUGGAAGAGCAAGGGGAUGGGAAACUGUGGUGGUUUGAGAGAAAAUAGCCCCCAAAGGGAAUGGAACUAUUAGGAGGUGUAGUCUUGUGGGAGGCGGGCUUUGAGGUCUCAUAUAUGCUCAAGCUACACCCAUUGAGUCAGACCACUUCCUGUUGCCUGCAGAUCAAGAUGUAUUAACUCUCAUCUCCUUCUCCAGCACAUGUUUGCCUGCGUGUCCCGCCAUGAUGAUAAUGGGAUGAACCUCUGAAAUGGUCAGCCACACAAUUAAAUGUUUUCCUUUAUAAAAGUUGCUGUGGUCAUGGUGUUUCUUCACAGCAAUAGAUAGCCUAACUAGAUGAAACCAUAAUCAGAAUCUAUUGUAUGAAAAAAAUCUAUUGUCAAUAAUAAUAAUUUAAAAAGACACACUCAGGGCAUUAGUGAGACACACCUUUAUGUGUGUGUGUUUGUGUGUGUGUUUGUGUGUGUGUGUGUGUGUGUGUAUGCUUGCAAAGAUUAGCUGAAUGGAAAAGAUAUUCCUGAACCUGAGUGGCACUAUUCCAUGGGCUGAGGUGUCAGACUGACUAGAGAAGAGAAAAAAGAAAGUUAGCCAAGCAUCAAUGUUCUUCCUCUGAGGUGUAAGUGGUUAGCCUCUGACCUUUGUGCCUUCCUGCCGUGGGGAUGACAUUCUCAUCGUGAGACUCUCCUUACUUAAGUUUCCUAUCAGGUGUUCUGCCCCAGUGAUGAGAAAAGGAAAUAAUACAGAAGGACAGCAGCUUGAGAUCCUAUGGCCUUGGUGCAAGCAGACCGGAGUUCAAAUCCUACUACCAUCAUUUCUUAUUCAUAGCUAUGUCUACUUCUCUUUUUUUCUGUACUAUCAGAUGUGGAUGGACACUCAUGAGGACUGAUCAGAUGUGGAUGGACACUCAUGAGGACUGAUCAGAUGUGGAUGGACACUCAUGAGGACUGAUCAGAUGUGGAUGGACACUCAUGAGGACUGAUCAGAUGUGGAUGGACACUCAUGAGGACUGAUCAGAUGUGGAUGGACACUCAUGAGGAUGGAGUGAGAUUGGGAAGGAACUGGAGUUUUGUGGAUCAUGUCUCAGCUCCUCAGAAUGCAAGGCUGGCAAGGUGGCUCAGUGGGUAAAGGAUGAUCUCUGCCAAGACUGAAGACAGGAGUUCAAUACCUGGGUCUCACUUGAUGGAAACUGAAAUCCACCUCCAGCAAGUUGUCUUCUGCACCAACACACACAGAGAAACACUUACACAUGGGAAUUUCCUUUUGGACCAGUAUACGUUCAAAGUCCAUGUGAGUGCCAGUGGGACAGCUCAACGGGUAAAGAUACUGGCCACCAAGCCUGAUGAGCUGAGUUUGAUCCUCAGGAACCACAAGGCACCUGCUGGAAGUGGCUCCUGACUUGAGGGUGAAGAAAGGAGCUGCUGGCCCCAUGCAGCCCCAGGACAAGGCCAUGGUGAUGUAGAACUCUGAAGAUCCUGUGGAGCUCAAGCUGGAAGAAGCAGUCAGUCCUUCAAGGUUCACCUGGCAUUUGGCUAAUGUCUGAAACCAAACCACACUCUGGACCAAUUAAGUCAUAGUGCCUAAGGGCCAGCAUGAUGCCAGCAUCUGCAUCCAUCAACUUCUCAGUGCUGGGAACACCCAAGAAACUCCUCCAGAAGUUAUCCUUUCUCUCAUUGCUUUUAUUUUUAUUUUAGCCCUAAAGUUCACCGAAGUUUGCCGAAGCAGAAUUUUGACAAAGGGAAAGUGUUGAGUGUCAGGUGGUGCAGUUGUGAAGCUGACACAAUGGGUCUGGGUGGGAAGUUGUGACUGGUUGAGCAAGGGUGGUGGUGCAAGAGCUCACAGGGAAGGGCCCGCUGAGGAUGAUCAUCAGAAGGUAAAAAUUGUUCUGCUGCUGUAACAUAACAGAUUUCUGUUGUCUCGGAGUUUUAGAGGCUCCAAGUUCAAGAUCAAGGUUUGUCAGUAGGGUGGUUUCCUCUGCGGAGCUCUGAGGAGGAACCUGGCUUGUUUGCUUCUAUUUGCUUCUGUAAGUUUGCUAGUGGUGCUUUGGUGUUUCCUGGUUUACAGCACAUAGCUUGUUUAUCUUAAUAUCUCCAUAUAUGUGUGUUUUAAUUCUCCCACCUGUGCUUUGUAUUUAGUAAGUCUAUGUAAAUGUGUGUGUGGCUGGGGUGGGGUGUGUGUGUGUGUGUGUAGGUAGGUACAUAUGUGUUUGAAGGCCAAAAAUCAAUGUUGGGUAUCUUUCUCCAUCUUGGCCAGACUUUUCUGAGACAAGGUUUCUCAUUGAACCUGUUACUUACCCAUUGGUCAGACUGGCUAGCCAGGGAGCCCCAGGCACCCUCCUGUGUCUGCCUUCUGAUGAUGAGAUGACAAGUACGUAUGUACUAUGCCAUGCCUGCCUGACUUACAUGGAUGCAGGGGACCUAUACUCAACCCCCCCCCCACACACACACACUUGCAUAAAAAAACACUUUACUCACUGAGCCAUCCACGACAGCCUCCAAUUCCCUCUUUUCAUAAUGACACACCAUGUGGGAUGGCCCCAUCUCUUAAGUGUGACUCUAGUCAUGGAUAACAGUCACAUCACAGUCAUUUGAAAUGGCUAUUUCUGGAGAGGGUUACAUUUGGAAGUACUGGAGCUUAGGGCUUCAGUAACUGGAAGGGACACAACUCCAUCCACAGUGUAAUGAAUUGUGUACUAUGCAAGCACCUUGCCUCGGGUACUUUGGUUUCAUCAUUUUAGGGGUAAGCCAGAAUUUUGCUAUGAGGGCAACACACUAGUUUUUAGGCUUUUGUCAAAAUCGUAACUCACGCAAAGGAACUCUGGGGAUGCUGACAAAACUGGAAAGGCGAGUGUCAUCAUCCAGUUGAAGGCCAGCAUGAGCUGAAGAAACACAAGAGAGGGAGAGGAAUGGGGUAGACACCAUUGUUCUCGUUUGUUCCUUCAGUGGUGGGUGCUUCUGCCUCUCUCAGCCGAUGCUUUUGCCGUCUCAGUGCUAAGUGAGCUUUCUUCGGGACCACUGAGAAGUGAGAAGCGGAGAGAUUAUAUGCAUAUGCCUAACAGAUCGAAGGUGCUCCUUCCUUCCUCUCCUUUCUUUCUGGCUUCCCUUAUUGUUCUUUUGUGAUUUUGUUCGUGGCAAUUAAAUGCAGUGCAGUUUUGGUAAUUAGCCGCUGUAAUUAGAAACACUUUUGGGUUAGGAGGGCAUUUCGUCUGCCUGGCUUUAGGAGCUGUCACUGGCUUUCUCUCAACAGUGCUUGCACUUGGUUGGUGUGUGUGUGUGUGUGUGUGUGUGUGUGUGUGUGUGUGUGUGUGUGUCUGUCUGUCUGUCUGUCUGUCUGUCUGAGGACUGGGCAGCUGUACACAAUUAAUGGCAGAGGAGGCUUUCCGCUAACAAUGACACCUUGCAUCCUGUACUCAGAGCUCUCUGUUGCAGCUGCAGGCAGAACUGAAAAGCAUGGCGAGCUACUCCUACAGUUAAUCAUUCCCAGAGCCCUCUCCAGCCCUUGGGUGCGUGCUGCCGUGCUAAAAUCCGGACAGUGUUACACAGAGAAGUCACUGGCUGAGAAUGCUAUCAUCUUCUCGAAGAUUGUCUUUUCUGCCGGCCUUUCCCUCCAGCAGGGGGCCAGGAGGACUUUUAGAAACUUCAAAACAACAACUUUUUACGUGGGACACCUGUAUUUGUUAGAACAAAGGUUGUAUUGGGGUAUAGUGGCACACAGUUUUAAUCCCAGCACUUGGGAGGCAGAGGCAGGCGGAUCUCUGUGAAUUCGAGGCCAGUCUGGUUCACAGAGUUGAGUUUCAGCACAGCUGAAGCUACAUAGUAAGAGCCUGUCUCAAAAACAACCCCGAAGAAGAAGAAGAA